rnacentral:lncRNA from 10 species
UCCCUGGAAUAGAGGCACCCGGAUUCACUUAACCCUUCUUGUGCUGGUGGGCAUUUGGGCUGUUCUCAGUUCUUCUGUAUUACAGCAAUGUAAAACAGUCAAAGCAUCGUGUACCUUUCUUGACGUAGACUGGUGUUAUUAUCAGAGAGACAGAUUUCUGGAAGUGGAAUUGCUGGAUUAAAAUAAAUAGAAUGAAGCCAGGCGCGGUGGCUCACGCCUGUAAUCCCAGCACUUUGGGAGGCCAAGACGGGUGGAUCACUUGAGGUCAGGAGUUCUAGACCAGCCUGGCCAAUGUGGUGAAACCCCUGUCUCUACUAAAAAUACGAUAAUUAGCUGGGCAUGGUGACACAU